GACGAACGCUGGCGGCGUGCCUAAUACAUGCAAGUUGAGCGAUGAAGAUUGGUGCUUGCACCAAUUUGAAGAGCAGCGAACGGGUGAGUAACGCGUGGGGAAUCUGCCUUUGAGCGGGGGACAACAUUUGGAAACGAAUGCUAAUACCGCAUAACAACUUUAAACAUAAGUUUUAAGUUUGAAAGAUGCAAUUGCAUCACUCAAAGAUGAUCCCGCGUUGUAUUAGCUAGUUGGUGAGGUAAAGGCUCACCAAGGGGAUGAUACAUAGCCGACCUGAGAGGGUGGUCGGCCACAUUGGGACUGGGACACGGCCCAAACUCCUACGGGAGGCAGCAGUAGGGAAUCUUCGGCAAUGGACGAAAGUCUGACCGAGCAACGCCGCGUGAGUGAAGAAGGUUUUCGGAUCGUAAAACUCUGUUGGUAGGGAAGAACGUUGGUGAGAGUGGAAAGCUCAUCAAGUGACGGUAACUACACAGAAAGGGACGGCUAACUACGUG
rnacentral:rRNA from 1 species